UUUGUCAGAGUGGUAUCAUCCUGUAGUUCCCACCUGGUUUAUUUCUGAAGAUAAGUAGGGUUGAACCUGGUCAGUCCCUGGAUUAGAGACCUCCUGGGGAAAACUAAGGUUUCUGCCGGAA
rnacentral:rRNA from 1 species